CACUGAACUCUGGAAAGCACAAAGCCUAUCCACCAGGAUUUGGGGGAAAAAGAAAGAUAGGAGAAGUCUUCAGGCAGUGUUGACAAUAUUGCUACCACAUGAGCACUGCAAUAUUUAAGGUCAUUAGAGAUUUCAGGAGCUGCCACCAGGAUGGAUUACUACACCACAUCGACCUAUUCUCUGGAAGUUAACUGUAGCGCCCAACCCCAUGUCACCGAAGCAGUCCACAGUCUCAUGGGCAGCUAUCUCUGGAGGCUCCUAGUGGAGGUGUUUUCCUCAUCAGAUGUUGAGCUCCUGUCCUGGGCUGCAUUCUUCACCUUCCUUUAAUUUCUUCAGAUUGGAGGAGAGCAAUUCUGCAGAAAUGUGGUUACCUUAUUAUUUUUUCCUGUUAACUUCAUAUUAUACACAGCAAAAAUAUUUCUUUACCAUUA